rnacentral:rRNA from 1 species
AAUCAACGCUGGCGGCGCGCUUAACACAUGCAAGUCGAACGAGAAAGCAGGGGCAACCUUGCGAGUAAAGUGGCGUACGGGUGAGUAACACGUGGAUCAUCUACCCUUUAGUGGGGAAUAACCCUGGGAAACCGGGGCUAAUACCGCAUAAUCCCGAGAGGGGAAAGCAGCAAUGCGCUGAUGGAGGAGUCCGCGGCCGAUUAGCUAGUUGGUGAGGUAAAAGCCCACCAAGGCAAAGAUCGGUAGCCGGCCUGAGAGGGCACACGGCCA